UACGUAGGGGCUAGCGUUGUCCGGAAUCAUUGGGCGUAAAGAGCGUGUAGGCGGCCCGGUAAGUCCGCUGUGAAAGUCGGGGGCUCAACCCUCGAAAGCCGGUGGAUACUGUCGGGCUAGAGUGCGGAAGAGGCGAGUGGAAUUCCUGGUGUAGCGGUGAAAUGCGCAGAUAUCAAGGAGGAACACCGGUGGCGAAGGCGGGUCUCUGGGCCGAUACUGACGCUGAGGCACGAAGCCGGGAGCAAACGGG
rnacentral:rRNA from 1 species